rnacentral:rRNA from 1 species
UACGAAAGGUGCAAGCGUUAAUCGGAAUUAUUGGGCGUAAAGGGUCCGCAGGGGGUUUGUUAAGUCUGGUGUGAAAGCCUACGGCUCAACCGUAGAACUGCACUGGAUACUGGCAGACUAGAGGACUGGAGAGGAGAGUGGAAUUCUCGGUGUAGCGGUGGAAUGCGUAGAUAUCGGGAAGAACGCCGAAGGCGAAGGCAGCUCUCUGGACAGUUUCUGACCCUCAUGGACGAAAGCCGGGGGAGCGAACAGG